rnacentral:rRNA from 1 species
GAUGAACGCUGGCGGCGUGCUUAACACAUGCAAGUCGAACGAUGAAGCCCAGCUUGCUGGGUGGAUUAGUGGCGAACGGGUGAGUAACACGUGAGUAACCUGCCCUUAACUCUGGGAUAAGCCUGGGAAACUGGGUCUAAUACCGGAUAGGAGCGCCUACCGCAUGGUGGGUGUUGGAAAGAUUUAUCGGUUUUGGAUGGGCUCGCGGCCUAUCAGCUUGUUGGUGAGGUAAUGGCUCACCAAGGCGACGACGGGUAGCCGGCCUGAGAGGGUGACCGGCCACACUGGGACUGAGACACGGCCCAGACUCCUACGGGAGGCAGCAGUGGGGAAUAUUGCACAAUGGGCGAAAGCCUGAUGCAGCGACGCCGCGUGAGGGAUGACGGCCUUCGGGUUGUAAACCUCUUUCAGUAGGGAAGAGGCGAAAGUGACGGUACCUGCAGAAGAAGCACCGGCUAACUACGUG